GCGGCGCUCUGAGGGGCUGCGGCGGCGCGGAGCCCUUGGGCAGCCGCCCUGCGACCGCGCUCCUUCCCCGGUCUCGACCCUUGCGCCCGCUGCACCGGCCUCCAGCCUUUCCGUCUCGCUUCCGAGAAGGGCCUCGGACACGGGAGAAACACGAACACACAGGGAACAGGCUUCUGGGGGAAAUCCUGCCGCGGCUGUGGGAGCGGCGCCGCGGUCCCCCAGCGCCCGGGCGGUCCGGCUCGGCGGACGAGGAUGGACGCACAAAUGGACAGAUGGGUGGAUAAGCGCGGCCAGAGAGCAGUAAUGUGGGGAAUAACUACACAGAUACUACUGGCUCUGGUACUACAAAAUCUAUAACGAAGGGCAACUAACCUGAAUGGGAUCAGGAUUGGGCCCACAAUCCCAGAUUCUCUUUUAAACAUCAACCAAAACAUGAAAAUUUUGAAGCGGAAAAGCUCACCAUCAUUCAUCAUUACAUGAAAAUGUACCAAUUUUCAAAGUCGAAAAGAUAUAACUCAAUGGAUACAAUUACUGCUAAAUUCAAUAAAGAGAAAUGAUCACAA